CUGACAGCCAGGCUUUCUGCAUGAAGGUGAAGGCACUCCUGAACCAGGAGCACAAAUCAUUCCUUCUCCUAAGUCCUGGACAGAAAAUGUCCCAUCGUUCUAUUCAUCCAAAUCUGUCACAGGGGUUCUUUAAUGGCUGUCAUUUUGCUGUGUGUCCUGAUGUCUUUCGGGUUUUCUCUUGUUGCUGUCUCUUUGCUUCGUGGAUCUUUACUUAGAUAAACUCCUGAGACCUGGUCCAGUUUGUCCUGGCUGGGGUGUCAUGGGAAAGCCGGGCUGCCUCUGGGUCCCUGAGAAAAGAACUGCUUUUGCUCCCUUCUCCGGAAGCUCCAGUAAACCCAAGUGGAGUUUUACAGGCCAUCUCGCAGCAUGAGCAAAUGGGGCUCAGGAAAAGAUUGCUGAAACACUUGAAAACUGCAAGUUGGUCUUGACACAGCACGGGCGCAGGAUAUGUGACGGGAAGUGGCGUGGUGAGCAGCGAUAACGAUCCCUGUGGCCAGAUCAACUACGGGCUUCUCACCCCAGCCUGGGUCCCCACAACAGACACUGCUCGCACUGAGGCGGAGCUUCAUCACACAGCAUAGUGGGGGUAGGGGCUGAAAUCUGGCUGUGCUACUGAGGGACACUGUGCUACUGUGGGCUACAGAGGGGCUGUGCUACUGAGGGGCUAGAGAAAGGAACCCCCACGGUGGGCUACCAGUACAAACACAUCUGGCUUGCAAAAGUUGUUCUGCCUGCUUGGUUUUGGCUUCACUCACCCCUACUUUUCCAAAGCGCCUCCUGGACUUACAGCUGGCUUUGGGAGAACUGAAGGCGCAACGUUUGUCCAUUUGUCCAUAGUAUCUCCCUGGGAAAAGCUGUGAAUGCCACAGACACAGGAGCUCAUUCAAGAUCCCAG
rnacentral:lncRNA from 1 species